AACGAACGCUGGCGGCAGGCCUAACACAUGCAAGUCGAGCGAGAUCUUCGGGUCUAGCGGCGGACGGGUGAGUAACGCGUGGGAAUAUGCCUCUUGGUACGGAAUAGCCUCGGGAAACUGGGAGUAAUACCGUAUGUGCCCCCCGAUUCAUUUUGGGGUGGGAAAGAUUUAUCGCCUUUAGAGCGGCCCGCGUCUGAUUAGCUAGUUGGUGAGGUAAAGGCUCACCAAGGCGACGAUCAGUAGCUGGUCUGAGAGGAUGAUCAGCCACAUUGGGACUGAGACACGGCCCAAACUCCUACGGGAGGCAGCAGUGGGGAAUCUUGCGCAAUGGGCGAAAGCCUGACGCAGCCAUGCCGCGUGAAUGAUGAAGGUCUUAGGAUUGUAAAAUUCUUUCACCGGGGACGAUAAUGACGGUACCCGGAGAAGAAGCCCCGGCUAACUUCGUGCCAGCAGCCGCGGUAAUACGAAGGGGGCUAGCGUUGCUCGGAAUUACUGGGCGUAAAGGGAGCGUAGGCGGACAUUUAAGUCAGGGGUGAAAUCCCGGGGCUCAACCUCGGAAUUGCCUUUGAUACUGGGUGUCUUGAGUAUGAGAGAGGUGUGUGGAACUCCGAGUGUAGAGGUGAAAUUCGUAGAUAUUCGGAAGAACACCAGUGGCGAAGGCGACACACUGGCUCAUUACUGACGCUGAGGCUCGAAAGCGUGGGGAGCAAACAGG
rnacentral:rRNA from 1 species